GUACUUGUUAUGGCAACAGAGAUGAAACUAGAAUGGGAUUGGGUGGGAUUUGUUCCCUCUGUCCUCCGAAAUUGUCAAUAGACUGAACCUUGAUUGAGAGGUUGGAGUCCACACUCAGCUGACCAGAAUAAACCAUAGAGUUUUCUGGCCAACUCAAAUGGGGAGAGAGGGACACAGAGAGGAAGGAGGAGGGACUUAGGAAAUUCACAGGCCUUUUUUGAUCUUGGAAAAGCAGAGAGGAGGGUCAGUUGGUCUUUUCUCCAUUGCAUUUUGAAUCUACCAGAGUAGGAUGCAGGAAAACUGAUGCAAAACUCCUGCCUUCCUGGAUAAAGGGAGGAGGCUAGGGAGACUGAUGAAAUUCACAAGAAACCUAACAAGACACAAGAGGCCCUUCCCUCAGGUUAUAUGAGCAGCAAACAGUAGCAGCAAUGUUCUGCCUCUACUUAGGCUCAAACACGAUGGAACCAGCCAACCACAGACUGAGACCAACGUACCAGAACAUGUGACACAAAUCCCAGGGCCACAAGAACAGAGGGGUCAGGCCAGUCUGCAGAGGCCAGGGAUUUGGAGAGCCAGGCCCAGAAUGUACUUCCUCUCAAAGCACUUCAAAAAAGUCUUGGAUCUAAGUGCCUUUCAAAGCCACCACAAGGACUAGUUAGAAUGGGAUGGGGGCAGUUCAGUCAACAUAGGAGAGGCCAAGGCUAGACAGUGAUGUGAGCUUCCUAAUCAGUUCCUACCUGGGACCUAAAGUUCGAAAGUGACAUCUCUCGCCCUACCUAAUCAUGAAUCUUCUUUGGACUGUGUUCUCUGAGGACCUCAAGGUCUGUCCAGGACUUGGCCCUGAGAUCAUCAAAGCCACAUUUUUACAGAUAGCCAAGUUUACAGAUGUUUCCCUGAUCACUACGAGCUUUGCUGCAAUAACCUCAGGUUGCUUCCCACUGACAAGCAUCCUUUUCCCAAGUUCAUGCUGAAGAAGAGCUGUCUAGAAGAUGAGCAGCUCCAGAGGACAAGGAGAGGGCAGGCACCCUCUGAAGGAGGCUUGUGAAACAUCAAGAAGAAUCAUUUCGAACCUACUGUGUCUGCCCAGAAUUAUCCACUUCACACAGUAUUUUGCAUGAUGAGUUUAGAAUGCCUUGGAUAUGAAGACUUCCCCCAAAGGCUGAUUUGUUACAGCUUGGUCUCCAGCUCACAGAUUCAACAUUGACAGCUGAUAGGAUGAUGGGGACUUGACCUAACCAAUGGAUUCAUCAACUGAUGGAGUCCUAAAGAGGGAGCAUGACUGGUGGUGACAGAAGCUUUGGAGGCUGGGCUAGGAUGGAUAAAAUAGAUAAUGGGGUAGGGGCAUGUCUAGGGGUGCUGUGUCUCACCCUGAGUGCCCUCCCUCCCUGUCCCCCUCUUUUCCCUCUGCUUCCUGGCUACUACAAAGUAAGCAAUGUUUCUCCAACACUCCCUUCUUCCAUAACAUGGCCCACAGACUGAAAUCAUGAACCAAAAAGGUCCUUUCAUGUUUAAUAUGAUCUUUUAGGUUUUUGCCACAUUGAUGGCAAUUAACUAAUCUAUCCUUUAACGUCCCUUUUUUUGGGGCACACAAUGGAAAGUUCAAAACCAUAUUUGUAUAAAGGUAAAGGAAAUGCCUGUCCUCUUAGGCAGGAGGCAUACAGAAGUGUAGGCUUCUGCCAUAGUGUUACAUGUUACCAUAAAUGUGUGUUAAACAAUAUUCUUGUUAAGACAUGAAUUGUACCCAUCCAGAACUUUCCAUUUUGACUAUAUUAGAGAUGGGGCCUUUAAUGGGGAGGUCCUCGGGGUUGAGGAGCUGGAAUAGUGGGCGAAGUACUUGUGUAAGUAUGAACAACUGAGUUUGGAUCCUCUACAUAAAAGCCAACUGUGGUAUUGUGUUCCUGUGAUUCCAGCCCUGGAAGGAGGCAGGAGGAUAGCAGAGGCUCACAGGUGGCCAGUCGAGACAACUGAUGAGCUUCAGGUUCACUGAGAGACCCUGCCUCAAACAUAAGGUGGAGGGCAAUUGACAAUGACACUAGACAUUGACCUUUGGCCUCCAAAUGCUCAGUCAUGGGUGCAUUCAUCAGCACAUACAUGUUCACGUCUUUCUCUCACCUUCUCUCCUCCCUUCCUCUCCCUCUCACAGUGUGCUCACAUUUAGAAAGCCAUGCAUGAUGACAAUAAUGUGCCUUCCAAAUGCCAAGGAGAGGCUCACUGGAGUCCAGCCUCUCAGCAGCUGUUAGAAAGUACAUUUGGGAUUUUUAAGCCAUCAGUCUGUAAUAUCUGGCCAGGGACUGCUUUAUGGAAGCACACUCUUGUGACACCUGCCUUCAUUUUAUUCUGUGCAGACACAUCAUUGUCUCCAUGGGGGAAGGGGAUUCUUUUCUCUUCCUUGCUUGCUCUUUUGUAGCACUGGAGAAUCCAGAGCCUCGUGAUGCUGGGCAAGUCCAUAUCACCGAGCUACAUUCAGCCCCUUGGAGAAGUUCCCUAGCUGAGGAUUUUAUGGUAGAAAGAAAGAAAGAAAUGAUUAGAUGUUUGGACACAGAACCAUAAUCAGAUGCAAACUAUGAAUCCCAGCAAAAGUAUAAAUUUAACUUCUUUCUCUUACCUGACUUAAAAAGGUCAAAAACCUGCUUAGGUGACACUUGGGAGUUACCAGGUGAGAUUAUGUGUCACGGAUACUCUUGCUUUAAUAAGGUUUGUUGAUCAGAGCUCUGUCACUGAGACAAAAUGCCCAAGGGAAUACAUUUAAAGGAGGGAAUACUUAUUUCAUCUCUGGUUGUAGAGGUCUUGGUCCAUGGACACUCCGCUCUAUUGUUUCUGGUUCUCUGUCCUGUGACAUUCCUGAUUCCCCAGAUAGGGAGCCAUUAGCAGAUCCAAGUAACUGGUCUGCCAAAGUUCAACCAGAUGAGCCAAUGAGGUUAUUGAGGUUGCUUAUGGGAAUAUAGGGAAGGGUUACUUACAGGUGCAGGGCAGCUCAAAGGCAACAGCAUCAGUGAAAGGGCCACUGGUGCCUGGGUGUGAAUUUGAAAUGCCUUCCAAAGGUACUUGUGGUGAAAGCUUGAUUCACAGCCCGUGGUGCUACGGAGAGUGCAUCUUUAGGAGGCUACUCCUUGGCUACAAUGGGAGGUCUUAGGUCAUUCACAGCAUCCUUGCAGGGAUUGUGGCAUCCUGGUCUCUUUCACACUCUGCCAUGAGGUACACAGGCUUCCUCUACCAAAGGCUUGCCUCAAAAAUCUUCUGUGUGAUGCCAGAAGCAUCAUGAAGUCUCCAGCCAGGAGCCCAAAUAAAUUUCUCUCCUUUGUAAGUUACCUCAGGUAGUUUGUUAUGGUAACAAUGUUAGAAAGGAGAUGGGCAAUCUUCCUUCUCUGUCCCCCAGAAGGCUGCACAAGGCUCCCAGGUUUCUCAAAAAGCCUUUUGCUCCAGAAUGACUUCCUUGUCCUCAUUCUCUUCCUAUUUUUGACGGUAGUGUUGCUAUUGUUCAGUUACCUGCUUAGAUUCCCUUGUGUCUAUACCCGGUUCCUGCUAGCUUCAGUUUCCUACCUCAUGUCUGUCUGUUUUCUGCCUAUGUAGAUGAAGUCCCUUUGUGAAGUUUAUUUAGAUUUUUUGAUUACCUAAAAAAAAAGUCUUUAGUGUAUUUUCAUUCUUGAAAAGCUUUUUACUGUGUUGUGACAGAACACAAAUUAUUGGUUAUUUUCUUUCCAGGGAUCCUGAAAAAUAGUUCUCUUUCAUCUUGUGGUUUUGUUAUUUUUCUUAUUGAAAGUCAGUUGGAUGUCUGAUGGUGGCAUCAGAUGCUGGAGGAGGUAUUCUCUAUCAGGAUCUUUUGAGUAUGAGAUGGUUUUAUUGACAUGCUUUUUAUUGAGGUUUUCAUACAUACAUAUAAUGCGUUUUAAUCAAUGCCAUCCCUUCCAGUUCAUCCCUUAUUCCCAUCCCCACUUUUCUCUCCUAGCUUCAUGUAGUCUCUUGUUUUUGUUUGUUAUUUUAUUUUUUCACAGAGUCUACUUAGUGCUAUUAGAGCAAACAUGAGUGUGGGGCCAUCUACCAGAGCAUGGGUAUCCUUGAGUGAUGGUUUCCCUGAAGUAAACAUCUCCCGUUGGCCAUUUAUGUACAAUAGCCUCUCAGCUAGGAACAUCUUCUCUCAGGACUGGGACUUCCUCUUUGGUUUUGGUGGUGUUUGUUGUUAAAAAUUAAGUAUCCAUUGAUUCUGCUUAUACAUUUUACUUCUUGCUCUGAAGACCUAAAUAUUUCAUCCACCAUCUCUGAAACCUUGAAUACUGCUUGCUUUCUGUCAAUUUUUGAACUCAAACUAAACAUACAUAGAAUAUUGUUUCUUCUCUGACUUUCUUAUUUUUGUGUCUUUGCUUUCUGUCUUACAUUCUAGACAAUUUCCUAAGACUUAAAUUUCCUUUCACUAAGUCUUUCUGCAGCUGAGCCUAACCUGCUGUGUACCCUAUUACACUUCAGAUCUUAUUGAAAACUCUGUUAUUUCAAGAAAUUGAGUUUGGUUAUUUUUCAAAUUUCCUUUGUCUUUUUAAAAUAAAGCAUUGUCCCUCCACAUCUAUGCUUCUUUUUCCCUUUAAAUUGCUUAGAAAUAAUCAAUAAAACUUCAAAAUAUGUACAUAUAUUCAAAUCUAAG
rnacentral:lncRNA from 1 species